rnacentral:rRNA from 1 species
UACGAAGGGGGCUAGCGUUGCUCGGAAUUACUGGGCGUAAAGCGCACGUAGGCGGCUUUCUAAGUCGGGGGUGAAAUCCUGGAGCUCAACUCCAGAACUGCCUUCGAUACUGGAGAGCUCGAGUCCGGGAGAGGUGAGUGGAACUGCGAGUGUAGAGGUGAAAUUCGUAGAUAUUCGCAAGAACACCAGUGGCGAAGGCGGCUCACUGGCCCGGUACUGACGCUGAGGUGCGAAGGCGUGGGGAGCAAACAGG